UGUUUCUGAUAUAAACUGUACUUGCAGUGUAUUUGAGUGUGCUUCAGUAACAUAGCAUCUGACAAUAAGUGUUGAGUGUGCUUCAGUAAUAUAGCAUCUGACAGUAAGUGCUGCAAUUUUAAAAUUCCACAUCAAAGAACUAAAUGUGUGUAGACUGAUCAUUUUAAGAUAAUCUGAACUGGAAGAAAAAAUAAACUCUACUGGCAGUGUUUCUUUUAGUUUGCUUCAGCAAUAUAGCAUCUCAAAAUAAGUGUUGCGAUAUGAAGAUUCCACAAGCAAAGAACUACAAUGUGUGUAUACUGAUCAUUUUGUCCAGGAGUUUCACAGUAUACCGUUACACUAAUUUUGUGCUGUUCCAUCCUCAUUUGCCAGGAAGAUCCUGAUGAACAUGCUGAAGAAACAUGCAUACUCUCCAUCAGGAGAACACUUCUAGGUAUGUAUUUUUUCAAAGAAGGGAUAUAUAGUGCUGGUCAGAUGGUUAUUACAAUUCCUUUCGUUUGACGGAAUUAGAAAUGUUCUUCAUUGGAAACAAUUCCUGUGUCGACUUGCUCCACCAUAGAAAGGAGGCGAUCGAUAGCUCUGCCAAUUAUUGGAAGAGCACGCGUGAGUAAAUUAUUGCAGUUACUUUGUUUAACUCAGACAAGAGAAUUUAGAGCUGAUUGAUAUAAUUAACUGGCGCGCGUGAGUAAAUUCUCUUUUGCCAACUCAGGAAAGAGGAACAUACUAUUUAGUAGCUUGCCAGCUCUUGUUGACUUGUGUUCAUUCCUUUUGCGGCUUUCUGUACGGUACAACUGCCUGAUGUCGUUCAGCCCGUUUUCAUCCAGCGCCUUAUUGGCAAGGUCUGUGAUGCCAAAUCGUUGAAAAUCCUAACCAGAGGCAAGGUCUCAUUGCCGUUCACCCUAUGCCAUUGCAGUGGAAAUUCUACGGAGGUUUCAAACUGACAGAAGAUAGCACUCUAGCUUUAGUGCUUCCUUACUAUCAGUCUUAAUAUUUCCAUGGCUCUCCACAUAGGUAAUCAAUAGUGGGAGAGAAGUUUCAGCUUUAGAGCCCUCUACCGACAACCUAAUACCAAUCCAUCCAAAUAUGACAAGCCCCAUGUGCUUCACAAAACAGAGCCGCUAACAUAUAACCGGGGAUAUGAAGACAUGUUUCGUUGGAGUAAAAGAGCUGCCAUUCAAAUCAAGACAGAGAUCAGGAACCGUUCAUGUAGAUCUAGGUGUUAUGAUCUUCCAUCUAGGGUUUCCAUUUCCUUUUGGUUUGGGUGGUACCAGCUUGUAACUUAUGAACACGACUCUGUAGAAUCGUGUUUUAACGAUGUUUUAUCUUGCCACUGGACAAUUUUUAUCCUUGUAGUACUCACGGCUGGAAACUAUGAUUAGGCCAGAAGACAAUACACAUUUUUGUCUUA